AUUGAACGCUGGCGGCAGGCCUAACACAUGCAAGUCGAGCGGAGCGGCGGACGGGUGAGUAAUACCUAGGAAUCUGCCUGAUAGUGGGGGAUAACGUUCGGAAACGGACGCUAAUACCGCAUACUAUCAGAUGAGCCUAGGUCGGAUUAGCUAUUUGGAGCGGUAAUGGCUCACCAAGGCCACGAUCCGUAACUGGUCUGAGAGGAUGAUCAGUCACACUGGAACUGUACCACGUUCCAUACUCCUACGGGAGGCCGCAUUGGGGAAUAUUUGACAAUGGGCGAAAGCCUGAUCCAGCCAUGCCGCGUGUGUGAAUAAGGUCUUCGGAUUGUAAAGCACUGUAAGUUGGGAGGCGUUACCGACAGAGUAAGCACCGGCUAACUCUGUGCCAGCAGCCGCGGUAAUAC
rnacentral:rRNA from 1 species